AACGAACGCUGGCGGCGUGGCUAACCCAUGCAAGUCGAGCGCGAACGUUCCCUUCGGGGAGCAAUUAGCGCGGCGAAAGGGUGAGUAAUGCAUGAGUAACGUACCCCGGGCACGAGGAUAAUCCACCGAAAGGUGGCGCAUACUCGAUGAGACCACAUCCCCUUCGGGGGAAGCGGUCAAAGGGCGGGGGUUCCUUCGGGAACCUGUCGGCCCGGGAUCGGCCCAUGUCCCAUCAGCUAGUUGGUAGGGUAACGGCCUACCAAGGCGAUGACGGGUAGCCGGACUGAGAGGUUGACCGGCCUCAUUGGGACUGAGACACUGCCCAGACUCCUGCGGGAGGCUGCAGGGAUGAAUAUUCCGCAAUGGGCGAAAGCCUGACGGAGCGACGCCGCGUGUGGGAAGAAGCCCUUCGGGGUGUAAACCACUGUCAGGGGUCACCAAGCAAAUUCCCCUAAUACGGGAAGGCGUUGAGGAGCCCCAGAGGAAGCCACGGCUAACUUCGUGCCAGCAGCCGCGGUAAGACGAAGGUGGCUAGCGUUGUUCGGAAUCACUGGGCUUAAAGAGCACGUAGGCGGCCUGUUAAGCGUCUUGUGAAAUCCCUCGGCUCAACCGAGGAAUUGCUUGGCGAACUGGCAGGCUUGAGGCAGGCAGAGGCGCGUGGAACUCUUGGUGGAGCGGUGAUAUGCGUAGAUAUCAAGAGGAACACCGGCGGCGAAAGCGACGCGCUGGGCCUGAUUGGGGCCUCCCCUCGGGGAGACCUCUUCUGACGCUGAGGUGCGAGAGCCAGGGGAGCGAACGGGAUUAGAUACCCCGGUAGUCCUGGCCGUAAACGAUGUCCACUAGGCUGGGGGUUCUUUGACGGAUUCCCGGCCGCAGCAAAAGCAUUGAGUGGACCGCCUGGGGAGUACGGUCGCAAGGCUAAAACUCAAAGGAAUUGACGGGGGCUCACACAAGCGGUGGAGCAUGUUGCUCAAUUCGAUGCAACGCGAAGAACCUUAUCCUGGGCUUGAAAAGCGCGGAUGCGGCACCCGAAAGGGAUGUCCGCUGCCCUUCGGGGUGAAACGUGUACAGGUGCUGCAUGGCUGUCGUCAGCUCGUGUCGUGAGAUGUUGGGUUAAGUCCCGUAACGAGCGAAACCCUUGUCGUUAGUUGCCAGCGUGUCUUUAAUUAGAUGACGGGGACUCUAGCGAGACUGCCGGUGUCAAACCGGAGGAAGGUGGGGAUGACGUCAAGUCCUCAUGGCCUUUAUGCCCAGGGCUGCAAACGUGCUACAAUGGCCGGGACAAACCGACGCGAGGCCGCGAGGCGGAGCAAACCGGAAAAACCCGGCCCCAGUUCGGAUUGGAGUCUGCAACUCGACUCCAUGAAGUUGGAAUCGCUAGUAAUCGCAGAUCAGCUAUGCUGCGGUGAAUAUGUUCCUGAGCCUUGUACACACCGCCCGUCGAGUCAUGGAAGCCGGUAGCACCCGAAGUCGCCCCGAUACAGGGGUGCCGAAGGUGAGAUUGGUAACUAGGACU
rnacentral:rRNA from 1 species